AGCUUUGUGCAGUGGCAGUAUCGUAGCCAAUGAGGUUUAUCUGAGGCACGGUUAUUGCUAACUGAUUGCUUUGGCGAGGACUUCCAGUACAAUAUUGAAAAGGAGCGGAGCAAGUGGGCAUCCUUGUCUUGUGCCCAUUUUUAGUGGAAAACUUUUC
ensembl:snRNA U4 U4 spliceosomal RNA